GAGCCUCCUCGCCUACAUUUCAGGUCUUCUUGCCACUCUUGGACUCCAUCCUGGCUGAGAAGACGGUGAUUGUCCUGGAUGACUGAGUCACCAUCGCAGAGCUGGGAGUGCAGCUCAUGGCUGGCAUGUCUCUCUCCCUGCAGCCUCAACCAGCAGACAAAAGGGCCAUAGUCUCCACAGCCACUGCCCUGGAUGUUCUUCAUUCCCCACAGCAGGUGAGCGUUCCAGGGGCCCUGCAUCCCUGGUCAGUGGAGAUGACUUCUCUCUCAGAAGCAAUAGUAAGUUCUUGAACUUUGUUCAGUGAUGGUUUGGUGACACCUUUAGACAUUUAUGAUUCCAAGGAUUUUCCAUUUAUUGUCUCAUCAUUGAAAGACAUGGUGGUGUCUAUCCAGGUUCAAACCUUAAGCUCAAAUGGUUCUUAUUGCAGAGGACCCUUGAGUUAGACAUGAUGAUUAGUGAACCUGUCAGAAGACCAAGAGGAGGAGUGUUCUUACCCUGAGUAAAGAAAACUUCAAGGUCAAAUUUGAACCAAGUAGUGAUAAGCACCAAAUAUUUUUGUUUUAGGCGGGAAUGAUAUAGAGAGCAUAAAUCGGGAAUAUAAAGACCAACUCACUGGUUCCGUAAAGCACGAAGGAAGCCAGGAGAGACCAGUCCAGGAAUGGUUCCACCAAGGCACACCUGUUGGCCAAGAGGAAAGUACCAACAAAAGCACAACCCCCCAGUCUGCGGGUUGGACCCCCACAACCUCCCAUGGAUGGAAAUAAUAAGCUACUCAAAAGUGGUGGUCCAGAUACCUUCACAAGUUUCUCCACUCAAGGGAUGUCACCAGAUCCCAGUAGUCCUGGUGACCAUAAAGUGACCUCAAGGGGGCUAACGGUCUUGGAGAUUGGCAUGUGUGCCCUGUUCUGUGUG
rnacentral:lncRNA from 1 species